CCAUCUCCCCACAUGGAAGAAAGAGAACCCAGGGAACUACAGACCAGUCAGCCUCACUUCCAUCCCCAGCAAAAUCAUGGAGCAGGUCCUCAAGGAAUCCACUUUGAAGCGCUUGGCGGAGAGGAAGGCGAUCAGGUACAGUCAACAUGGAUUCACUAAGGGCAAGUCAUGCCUGACCAACCCGAUUGCUUUCUAUGAUGAGAUAACUGGCUUUGUGGAUAUGGGGAAAGUGGUGGAUGUGGUAUAUCUUGACUUUAGCAAAG